rnacentral:rRNA from 1 species
UUAGUGGCGAACGGGUGAGUAACACGUGAGUAACCUGCCCCUGACUCUGGGAUAAGCGUUGGAAACGACGUCUAAUACUGGAUAUGAUCGCCGGCCGCAUGGUCUGGUGGUGGAAAGAUUUUUUGGUUGGGGAUGGACUCGCGGCCUAUCAGCUUGUUGGUGAGGUAAUGGCUCACCAAGGCGACGACGGGUAGCCGGCCUGAGAGGGUGACCGGCCACACUGGGACUGAGACACGGCCCAGACUCCUACGGGAGGCAGCAGUGGGGAAUAUUGCACAAUGGGCGAAAGCCUGAUGCAGCAACGCCGCGUGAGGGAUGACGGCCUUCGGGUUGUAAACCUCUUUUAGUAGGGAAGAAGCGAAAGUGACGGUACCUGCAGAAAAAGCACCGGCUAACUACGUGCCAGCAGCCGCGGUAAUACGUAGGGUGCAAGCGUUGUCCGGAAUUAUUGGGCGUAAAGAGCUCGUAGGCGGUUUGUCGCGUCUGCUGUGAAAUCCCGAGGCUCAACCUCGGGCUUGCAGUGGGUACGGGCAGACUAGAGUGCGGUAGGGAGAUUGGAAUUCCUGGUGUAGCGGUGGAAUGCGCAGAUAUCAGAGGAACACCGAUGGCGAAAGCAGAUC